rnacentral:rRNA from 1 species
UGGGGAAUAUUGCACAAUGGGCGCAAGCCUGAUGCAGCCAUGCCGCGUGUGUGAAGAAGGCCUUCGGGUUGUAAAGCACUUUCAGCGAGGAGGAAGGUGGUGAACUUAAUACGUUCAUCAAUUGACGUUACUCGCAGAAGAAGCACCGGCUAACUCCGUGCCAGCAGCCGCGGUAAUACGGAGGGUGCAAGCGUUAAUCGGAAUUACUGGGCGUAAAGCGCACGCAGGCGGUUUGUUAAGUCAGAUGUGAAAUCCCCGGGCUCAACCUGGGAACUGCACUUGAAACUGGCAAGCUAGAGUCUCGUAGAGGGGGGUAGAAUUCCAGGUGUAGCGGUGAAAUGCGUAGAGAUCUGGAGGAAUACCGGUGGCGAAGGCGGCCCCCCUGGACGAAGACUGACGCUCAGGUGCGAAAGGCGUGGGGCAGCAAACAGGAUUAGAUACCCUGGUAGUCCACGCUGUAAACGAUGUCGA